CAGCCGCCACGGGAAUACGUAGGUGGCAGGCGUUGUCCGGAAUUAUUGGGCGUAAAGGGCUCGCAGGCGGUUUCUUAAGUCUGAUGUGAAAGCCCCCGGCUCAACCGGGGAGGGUCAUUGGAAACUGGGAAACUUGAGUGCAGAAGAGGAGAGUGGAAUUCCACGUGUAGCGGUGAGAUGCGUAGAGAUGUGGAGGAACACCAGUGGCGAAGGCGACUCUCUGGUCUGUAACUGACGCUGAGGAGCGAAAGCGUGGGGAGCGAACAGGAUUAGAUACCCCUGUAGUCCCUGUCUCUUAUAC
rnacentral:rRNA from 1 species